rnacentral:rRNA from 1 species
GGCAAUGAUGCGUAGCCGAACUGAGAGGUUGAUCGGCCACAUUGGGACUGAGACACGGCCCAAACUCCUACGGGAGGCAGCAGUAGGGAAUCUUCCACAAUGGGCGAAAGCCUGAUGGAGCAACGCCGCGUGGGUGAAGAAGGUCUUCGGAUCGUAAAACCCUGUUGUUAGAGAAGAAAGUGCGUGAGAGUAACUGUUCACGUUUCGACGGUAUCUAACCAGAAAGCCACGGCUAACUACGUGCCAGCAGCCGCGGUAAUACGUAGGUGGCAAGCGUUAUCCGGAUUUAUUGGGCGUAAAGGGAACGCAGGCGGUCUUUUAAGUCUGAUGUGAAAGCCUUCGGCUUAACCGGAGUAGUGCAUUGGAAACUGGGAGACUUGAGUGCAGAAGAGGAGAGUGGAACUCCAUGUGUAGCGGUGAAAUGCGUAGAUAUAUGGAAGAACACCAGUGGCGAAAGCGGCUCUCUGGUCUGUAACUGACGCUGAGGUUCGAAAGCGUGGGUAGCAAACAGGAUUAGAUACCCUGGUAGUCCACGCCGUAAACGAUGAAUGCUAAGUGUUGGAGGGUUUCCGCCCUUCA